rnacentral:rRNA from 1 species
AUUGAACGCUGGCGGCAGGCCUAACACAUGCAAGUCGAGCGAGCGGCGGACGGGUGAGUAAUGCCUAGGAAUCUGCCUGGUAGUGGGGGAUAACGUCCGGAAACGGGCGCUAAUACCGCAUACCAUCAGAUGUGCCCAGAUGGGAUUAGCUUGUUGGUGGGGUAACGGCUCACCAAGGCGACGAUCCCUAGCUGGUCUGAGAGGAUGACCAGCCACACUGGAACGGAGACACGGUCCAGACUCCUACGGGAGGCAGCAGUGGGGAAUAUGGCACAAUGGGCGCAAGCCUGAUGCAGCCAUUCCGCGGGGAUGAAGAAGGCCUUAGGGUUGUAAAGUACUUUCAGCGGGGAGGCGUUAACCGGAGAAGAUGCACCGUCUAACGCCGUGCCAGCAGCCGCGGUAAUAC